GACAAUCGUGUGGCCUUGGCACUGCUUGAUGGUGCCCAGGAGAAGACUGAGGCUCCCCGCCCAGGGUCUGGAGCCGGGCCUCAAGCUGUGUCUCCAUUGCCCGGGCUCCACAGCAGUGGGCUGACUUCAGGGCAC
ensembl:miRNA